rnacentral:rRNA from 1 species
GACGAACGCUGGCGGCGUGCCUAAUACAUGCAAGUGGAAUCGCAUUGGUAACACCGGACUUGCUCCAGUGUUACUAAUGAGUCGCGAACGGGUGAGUAACGCGUAGGUAACCUGCCCGAUAGCGGGGGAUAACUAUUGGAAACGAUAGCUAAUACCGCAUAAGAGGAGUUAACUCAUGUUAACUGUUUAAAAGAAGCAACGGCUUCACUAUCAGAUGGACCUGCGUUGUAUUAGCUAGUAGGUAGGGUAACGGCCUACCUAGGCACCGAUACAUAGCCGACCUGAGAGGGUGAACGGCCACACUGGGACUGAGACACGGCCCAGACUCCUACGGGAGGCAGCAGUAGGGAAUCUUCGGCAAUGGACGCAAGUCUGACCGAGCAACGCCGCGUGAGUGAAGACGGUUUUCGGAUCGUAAAGCUCUGUUGUAGGGGAAGAACGUGUGUAAGAGU